AGAAAAGCAGGGGCUUGGUGAGCAGGCCUCCUGUAAACUUCAGGGAAAUUAUUUACAUUGUUAUUGGGUGAACCUCUGUUAUAUUUGUAUCAGAAGGUUCAGUAAAUGGUGGUACAUGA